AUGGGGACUCUAUUGUGGAAAAGGAUGUUUAACAAUCUUGUGGUCUUAUGAACAGGAACGGAGAGAGACAGAAAGGAAUAGAGAGAUACAAAAAAGAGAGAGAAAAAGAAGAGCGAGAAAAAGAUGCAUUAACUCUGUAUGGGUCUGGAUUUAGUAGAUGGAUUUCAAGCUAAUGUGACCGGUUGAAUGUCUUUAAGAUGAAGACAAAUAGACAUGCAUAAAUAAUGGGUGCAUUUUAAAUCUGAAGACACGCCCACUGCUGUGGAGUUGCGCUUUGACAUUGAGCACACCUGUGCCACGUAAUUAUGUCGGCAUGUUUGUGGCUUUAUAAAAAGCACAGUUGAGUGAGACACUUUGAUUCCUUUCCUAUCUGUAGGCUGGGUGGCUAGAAAAGGGAGGUGUGCAUGAACGCAGGUAGCAUUAGUGAUAAUAGUUUAACCCCGUUUGUGAGGUGCGGCCAAAGAGCGCUAGCUGCUGUUUAGCUGCUGUUUCGUACCUGUUUCGUAUAUGCUUUUACACACCGUUUCAUAAACCCGAAUUAGCUUGUUGGGUUACCGUUUGGACCAAGCGGACGUCGCGGUUGUAAACCGCUGUAUUACUGAGUGUUUUAAAAGAUUAUCCUGCGCAACGGUUCUGUGCUAUGUUUGAGUAAGGACUUGGAUAUUUAUCUUUUGCGCAGGUGUAUUAAAUUAACAGGCUUGGUAUUUUUGCUCCGUGAGCCGCUUGGACGCUUUUUAAAUAUUAAUUGGGAGUUAAUUGUUUUUUUUCUCUUUUUAACGUGUGUAUAAGUGUGAGUACCAAUUACAUAAUUAUUUCCACAUAUAACUAUCUGAUGAGCUGUGAUUUGAGACUUAAACAGAAGGGGAGUUUGUGUGUUUUGGGUUUAUUUUUGGUUUAUUCUUGUUUUUAAGAAUUAUGCACUGAUUUGCGGUGUGCUCUGUCCCUUCUGUUACAAAGGAUUUAAUCUAGUCUCUUUGAUUGUGGGUAAUUAACUGGUAAGCUGUAAAUGGUAUUAAAAUAUUUUUAAGCAUUCUUUUGUUUAAUAAAUUUGUACUAUUUUUGUAAA